AUGCCUCCUCGGGUAAAGGUGUUCUUGUGGCUUGCACAAAGAGGAUGCAUCCUCACUAAGGACAACUUAAUCAAGAGGGGAUGGCGUGGUGAUAGUAAGUGCUCCUUCUGUGGGAGGGAAGAAGAUAUUAAUCAUCUCUUUUUCCACUAUUCUGUUGCCAGGAUGUUGUGGAUGGUUAUGAAAUGCUCAUUUGCUAUGCAUGGCAUUCCGAGAAUAUCAAAAUCUAUUUGGGGUUUGGAUCAGAAAAUUUGA
rnacentral:rRNA from 1 species